rnacentral:rRNA from 1 species
GACGAACGCUGGCGGCGUGCUUAACACAUGCAAGUCGAGCGGAAAGGCCCUUCGGGGUACUCGAGCGGCGAACGGGUGAGUAACACGUGAGUAACCUGCCCCAGACUUUGGGAUAACCCUCGGAAACGGGGGCUAAUACCGGAUACGACACAGCUUCGCAUGGGGUCUGUGUGGAAAGUUUUUCGGUGUGGGAUGGGCGCGCGGCCUAUCAGCUUGUUGGUGGGGUGAUGGCCUACCAAGGCGACGACGGGUAGCCGGCCUGAGAGGGCGACCGGCCACACUGGGACUGAGACACGGCCCAGACUCCUACGGGAGGCAGCAGUGGGGAAUAUUGCACAAUGGGCGGAAGCCUGAUGCAGCGACGCCGCGUGAGGGAUGACGGCCUUCGGGUUGUAAACCUCUUUCAGCAGGGACGAAGCGUAAGUGACGGUACCUGCAGAAGAAGCGCCGGCCAACUACGUG